CGCUUCCGAAGCCUGAACAGGGUGGAUCAGGCGUCAUCUCCAGGUGACAAUUUCUCGCAGUGGAGGAACCAUGAGGCACGGUACCCAAGCCUAACCAGAGUGUCCGUCCAUGGAUGCUGGGACACUAACCCCGGUGUAGCUGCUGCCACAACAUCUUCCUGUAUCCAUAUCCUGGUACGAAAGAGGAAUAUCAUAUCAUAUCACCGCUCUUCAGCUGACCUUCCUUCCCGUUGGCUUCCUGGCCAGGUAAUGGAGAAGGAUCCAUCCCAGCAAGGACACCGACUGGUCCAUUACACUGUAUAGCUGGAAAAACAAGAGGGAUUUCUCUUCACCUUUAAUUCCAAAAAAGAAAGAAGGACACCAUCUCUAAAUAGAUGAUGCACAACACACAAAAGAAUAAGGAGACUUCAAAUGAUAGUGUCAGGGAUGCCAGGG